GUCUGUAGCUCAAUUGGUAGAGUGCUCCCUUAGCAUGGGAGAGGUACCGGGAUCGAACCUGACGUCGGCG